CCGUUGGUGAACCAGCGGAGGGAUCAUUACCGAGUUUACAACUCCCAAACCCCAAUGUGAACGUUACCAAACUGUAGCCUCGGCGGGAUUUCUGCCCCGGGCGCGUCGCAGCCCCGGACCAAGGCGCCCGCCGGAGGACCAACCCAAAACUCUUUUGUAUACCCCCUCGCGGGUUUUUUAUAUCUGAGCCUUCUCGGCGCCCCUAGCGGGCGUUUCGAAAAUGAAUCAAAACUUUCAACAACGGAUCUCUUGGUUCUG
rnacentral:misc_RNA from 1 species